GGCAGUUCUUGGGUGACACACACCAGAAUUGGACUCCUCCUUUCUGUUUCAGGGUGUGUCACCCAAGAAUCCCA
rfam:Myotis davidii contig46779, whole genome shotgun sequence.